CUUCUGCAGGCAGGCCAGCAUCAGUUUGGGCGGUUGGAUAAAGGUCUCUGUCACGUACCUCCUUUCGGGGAGGCCUUAUAGGGGAGACGUCAUACAACCAGCCUGGACUGAGGUCCGCGCAUCUGCUAGGAUGCUGGCGUAAUGGCUGUAAGCGG
rnacentral:rRNA from 1 species